GGCCGCGUAGUGUAGUGGUUAGCACGCAGGAUUUUGAUUCCUGAGACCUGAGUUCAAUCCUCGGCGGGGCCU
rnacentral:tRNA from 1 species